CUGCUCCCUUUCUAAGACCAUGCAAAUGCUUGAGUUAGUAGAUGUCAAAGCGGCACUUCAGGGAGAAGAAAUGAGAAGUUCAGACGUCUUGAUGACCUAAAAGCCAUGGAUCAGGCCGGCUAUUAAAGGUUCACCUUAAGGUAGCAGAAAUAAUAGCUUCCAAAUCCAUUAGAGUCCAGUCCCUAAAGAAAACAACUACUCCAUAAAUAGUUACAACAAAAUUUCCCAAUAGGGAGAUACUAAGUACUAACCAAAGUAAACUAAAAAUGGUUGAGACACCAGUAAUGCUAUAUGAGUUAUGAGAGUUAGUAUUGCUGGGCCUCUAACACCCAACUUGUCCUCAACAUGAUCACUAGUAGAAAUACAGAUGUUAAGUAGAUGGCAUCAUAUAAGAUUAGACAAGAUUAGAAUUAAACGAUUGAAAGGGUACAAACAGCACUCUACAUCCUUAAAGGAUAAAUCGAAGAAGGUUACAUGACGUGGUUUGGUCAAGUCUCACAAUCA
rnacentral:misc_RNA from 1 species